rnacentral:rRNA from 1 species
UACGUAGGGGGCUAGCGUUGUCCGGAAUCAUUGGGCGUAAAGCGCGUGUAGGCGGUCCGGUAAGUCCGCUGUGAAAGUCGGGGGCUCAACCCGUCGGAUGCCGGUGGAUACUGUCGGGCUUGAGUACGGAAGAGGCGAGUGGAAUUCCUGGUGUAGCGGUGAAAUGCGCAGAGUAUCAGGAGGAACACCAAUUACGAAGGCAGCUCGGCUGGGACGUUACUGACGCUGAGACGCGAAAGCGUGGGGAGCAAACAGGG